UAGGGAAUUUUCCGCAAUGGGCGAAAGCCUGACGGAGCAACGCCGCGUGAGGGAUGAAGGUCUUCGGAUCGUAAACCUUUGUCUAGAGGGACGAUAAUGACGGUACCUCUGGAGGAAGCCACGGCUAACUACGUGCCAGCAGCCGCGGUAAUACGUAGGUGGCAAGCGUUGUCCGGAAUUACUGGGCGUAAAGGGCGUGUAGGCGGCUAAUUAAGUCGGACGUGAAAUCUCUGGGCUUAACCCAGAAAUUGCGUUCGAAACUGGAUAGCUUGAGGAUCGGAGAGGGCAGUGGAAUUCCCAGUGUAGCGGUGAAAUGCGUAGAUAUUGGGAGGAACACCAGUGGCGAAGGCGACUGCCUGGACGACACCUGACGCUGAGGCGCGAAAGCUAGGGGAGCAAACG
rnacentral:rRNA from 1 species